rnacentral:miRNA from 12 species
GGGGUUCUGUCCUACACUGGGCU